AGGACAAAGUAAUGAAUUUUUAUUUUACUGUAAGCAGGCAAAUAUAUUAAACAACAACAACAAAAAAGAACCAGGUUCUUCAAACAGUGCUUGAGAAUAAGGUUUUCUUUGUUGUUAUAGUAGCUGGAAUUGUUGACCGUUAAUUCAGAGCUAAUAUUUUGAAGCAUGAGGUUUUGCAAGCUGAGCCAUAUUUCUUGCAGAAUUCAGAGGGAACUCACAGAGGCUGCUGUAAAAGAAGAGUACUGCAGUUUCUGUGCUGGAGUGGUUGGAAUGGAGAGCACAUGCAUUGUGCAUGUGUACACAUGCAUGCGUGUGCAUAUGUGUGUAUAGCCACAAGCACGAUUGCCCACAGUUCAUGAUGAAGGAAAUCGGUCCAUAUACUUUCUGAAUCCAACAUAUGAAGAUCAUUGCUGUUCAAACUUGGCCCUGACCUUGAGAUACGAGACCUUCCUGUGGGUUGCUGAAGGAGACCCAUAUCGAUGGCAGGAGCUGUAGAGCAUGUUGUCUUGCAGGUAGUACUCCAUAACAUGGCUCCUGGAACAUAUUCACCAAAUGUCUCUACAUCCAUAAAGGACAGCACGGAUGGAAACAUCAGGAGAUAAUGCAAAGAAGGAAACAAAAAAAAA
ensembl:lncRNA